UGCCAUCAGCCGCGGUAAUACGGAGGGGGUUAGCGUUGUUCGGAAUUACUGGGCGUAAAGCGUACGUAGGCGGAUUAGUAAGUUAGAGGUGAAAUCCCAGGGCUCAACCCUGGAACUGCCUUUAAUACUGCUAGUCUUGAGUUCGAGAGAGGUGAGUGGAAUUCCAAGUGUAGAGGUGAAAUUCGUAGAUAUUUGGAGGAACACCAGUGGCGAAGGCGGCUCACUGGCUUAUUUCUGACGCUGAGACGCGAAAGCGUGGGUAGCAAACGGGAUUAGAUA
rnacentral:rRNA from 1 species